GAUGAACGCUGGCGGCGUGCCUAAUACAUGCCAGUCGAGCGAACGGACGAGAAUCUUGCUUCUCUGCUGUUAGCGGCGGACGGGUGAGUAACACGUGGAUAACCUACCUAUAAGACUGGGAUAACUUCGGGAAACCGGAGCUAAUACCGGAUAAUAUUUUGAACCGCAUGGUUCAAAAGUGAAAGACGGUCUUGCUGUCCCUUAUAGAUGGAUCCGCGCUGCAUUAGCUAGUUGGUACGGUAACGGCUUACCAAGGCAACGAUGCGUAGCCGACCUGAGAGGGUGAUCGGCCACACUGGAACUGAGACACGGUCCAGACUCCUACGGGAGGCAGCAGUAGGGAAUCUUCCGCAAUGGGCGAAAGCCUGACGGAGCAACGCCGCGUGAGUGAUGAAGGUCUUCGGAUCGUAAAACUCUGUUAUUAGGGAAGAACAUAUGUGUAAGUAACUGUGCACAUCUUGACGGUACCUAAUCAGAAAGCCACGGCUAACUACGUG
rnacentral:rRNA from 1 species